ACUCCUACGGGAGGCAGCAGUNAGGAAUAUUGGACAAUGGAGGCAACUCUGAUCCACGCCAUGCCGCGUGAAGGAUGACUGCCCUAUGGGUUGUAAACUUCUUUUAUAUAGGAAGAAACCGUGGUAUGUAUNCCACCNUGACGGUACUAUAGANAAGGACCGGCUAACUCC
rnacentral:rRNA from 1 species